rnacentral:lncRNA from 1 species
GUUUAAACUAAGCAGAUUAAGAGGAAUGAGGGCUGGCACCCAUCUGCUGGGGCGGUUUGCACUAACUGUGUACCUACAGAGGAGAUCUGCCUGCUGCAUCCAGAGGAGAGGAGGUUUGGAGCUUGGGUACGGCUUCUCUAUGAUUCUGCGUUUGGUGAUCAGAAACUUGGUGUUUCCAAGCUGUUCAACUGAGGAAUAGGCCUUAGACCAGGAGACUCUUGGAUGGAUGCCCUGUCUCUUGCUUACUGCAUAAACUGUGAGCCCUUGGAGGAUAGGGCUUUUGACCACUAGGAAGAUAGCCAUUGAACAAGCACAUCCAUGUUGCUAUGACUGCUGGGAACUUAUGCCCACUGCAAGAGAGGCUGACAAGGCUCCAUAUGGGUUCUACCACUCUCUGGGGUUUCUACUUUCUGGGGGUACAGAAAAUAGAAACAUGACUCAGAGUUCCUGCCUCAUGGAGUCUGGGAGCUUUCCUCCUCAUGGAUCUGGGAGCUUCCAGGAACACAUCAAGGAAGAAGGAGAGCUCACUACUAUACAACACAGGUGUCACGUCUCAACACCCACCCAGCUUACCUGCAGAUCCCAGAAGAGCCAAGAGGUUCCGAGGGCACCCUUAAUGAGACAAGGCAUCUGAUGACACCUUCCAUUACACCAGGCACCAGAAAGCAAGCUGUUCUGCGGCACCAGAACAUAUGAAAAGGAAGCGCAGUUUUCCACACACAGUCGCUUCCCGUCUCAGACCCCAUGACUGCAGAGUUCCAGAAAGUAAACACUGUAGAUCCAAGCAGAGUGCCAGAUGGUGGGCUGAAGUAGAACCAGCGCACAGAGACUGGAACACACAGGGCUGGGAGCUCCUUGCUCUCUUCGUCUGCUUCCACCUAUUCAGAUGUCUCCAGGGUUCAGGAAUAGAAGCUUUCACUGAAGAGACAUCAGGCAUCUAAGGAUCGCUUGACACAGUGGAAUACCAGGCACACAGUGGGAAGCUUCUCCCAGUGGGUUGCUAACAGAUGAAGAGCAGAAACAGGAAUGGAUCCUUCCUCUUAAGGUUCCUGCCACCUUAGACUGGAGACCAAGCCUGCAGGACGUGAAGCUUGGGAAGUCAGAUCACGCUCCAAGAAUGGAGUCGUAUGAGGAGGAUUCUGAGUGCUUGGGAGAAAACUCCAAGAAACCAGGACGAGAGAUUUGUGAUUUCAGUUUCUUCAAAGUCACAAAAUUUUUCUUGGAUUAUGCUUUUGUGCCCCUCCCAGAUGUAGCAAUUGACUUCAGAUUAUUCAUCAUAACUGGCUAUUAUUUGUUUAUACACCUCUAUGGAAAAUCCAUGUGUGGCUUUGGCCUGGUGACUGUACACUUUACUCACUUGGCUCUGAGUAACCCUCAAAGUAUAAAUUGUCUGAUGCUCUGAA